AUUAGUUCCGAGUGUUUUUUUAGUAAUGUAAAAAUAAUGCUGGCACAGAAAAAUUUUCCGAAUGAAUUAAUGCUAAUGUAAUGAACGUAAUAAAUUAAAUGAUAAUGUUGAUACAGAGUUAAUAAUGUCUUCUAAUAGGAUUCAAAAUUUAUCUUGGAGUGCCAAUUCUUCUACCGUCCCAAUCACUGUACCUGGAAGAGAACGUAGAUUGACACAUUGUAUCUUCCGUCGUCCAAAAACCUUACAAGAAAAAUUGUUAUGCUACGCGCUUUGUCUUCUAUCUGUUUUCCUAAUGGUAUUUCUGGCAGCCCUUUGCAUAUUGUCGGAUAGAUGGAAA